rnacentral:rRNA from 1 species
UACGUAGGGUGCAAGCGUUAAUCGGAAUUACUGGGCGUAAAGCGUGCGCAGGCGGUUGUGCAAGACAGAUGUGAAAUCCCCGGGCUUAACCUGGGAAUGGCAUUUGGGACUGCAAGGCUUGAGUGCGGCAGAGGAGACUGGAAUUCCCGGUGUAGCAGUGAAAUGCGUAGAUAUCGGGAGGAAUACCGAUGGCGAAGGCAGGUCUCUGGGCUGACACUGACGCUCAUGCACGAAAGCGUGGGGAGCAAACAGG